UGCAAUUAUCUGUAUUUUUACUAAUAAAUAAAUUAUGAAAUAAGUUAUGAAAUGACAAUGGUGGGUGCCCCGGUCGAGCAGUACUCUUUUUUUUUUCUUUUUUGAUUCUGUGCAGGUCAGAGAAAAUAUUGGAGACUGCCGGUUGUUCCACAAGUUGUACAGCAGGUCCGUGGAUGCUGUUUGCACGCAAGGCCUCCGCCGCUUCGGGGAGUUCUGGUUCUGCGUCUGGUGGUGGUGCCUGAUCGCCGUGCCUUCUGCCGUCGCUGCCCUGGCUCUCUCCACGUACUACGGCAGAACGUCGCCGCACGUGACCAGCAGAGAUGCCGCCGACGACGGUGAUGCGUGAAGACCGUGUCGACUCCGACUUCGCCGUCCAAGGACGUCGCUCGUAGUCCUCAUAUUUAGCGACGUCGGGAGUCCAGCCGAGACCUACUCUGGCAGAUCCUUGACGCUGCAAGAAUGCGACGGUGUGGGGAGACCGAUGACGCGUUCUGUCAUGUUAAUAGUUAUUCUGUUGUGCGGUUAUUAGUUAAAGACGACACACACGUAUCUGUUUCUAUAUAGUUAAGUGCCCUCCGAACUGCCAGUGAUCUUUCAACAUCCGUUUCCGGCGAGGACAGUGCGAAACGCGCCGUAUAGUAUAUAUUACUCGUGUUUUAUCCAAUGUCGUAGCUGCGAUGCGUCCCGUCUUUUUUUUAGUUAGCUCAUAUAUAGCGAGUUCCCCCUGGGGAUAGAGCUUGUAUUUAUCGCGUUCGAGCUAUGACGAGAAGGUACGUCAGGGCGCUACGGUGUUGCGGAGACUGUGCGGGCACUUCCGUGCUUACACGCUGUAAUUAUCAAGCGAUAUGCGUGUACAUUGGACCGUUCACAAUACAUGACGAUCGCUUUGAAACCACGCUUUCUUUUUCUUUUCCUCCGCGUAGCAAUGUGCGAACGAGUGGACUUUAUCAAAUAUCUGGGCCAAGUAUGCGGCGAGUCAACUGUUCUUUUAGUAUACAGCUGCGUUUGAGAAUAGGAAAUAUUGUGUGUGUUUUUUUCUUGCCCGCACCGGUGCUUAAUGGUUGCUCAGUGAGGAUAAAUAAAUAAAUAUAUGAACGAGA